rnacentral:rRNA from 1 species
GAUAAACGCUGGCGGCGUGCCUAAUACAUGCAAGUCGAGCGAACGGACGAGAAGCUUGCUUCUCUGAUGUUAGCGGCGGACGGGUGAGUAACACGUGGAUAACCUACCUAUAAGACUGGGAUAACUUCGGGAAACCGGAGCUAAUACCGGAUAAUAUUUUGAACCGCAUGGUUCAAAAGUGAAAGACGGUCUUGCUGUCACUUAUAGAUGGAUCCGCGCUGCAUUAGCUAGUUGGUAAGGUAACGGCUUACCAAGGCAACGAUGCAUAGCCGACCUGAGAGGGUGAUCGGCCACACUGGAACUGAGACACGGUCCAGACUCCUACGGGAGGCAGCAGUAGGGAAUCUUCCGCAAUGGGCGAAAGCCUGACGGAGCAACGCCGCGUGAGUGAUGAAGGUCUUCGGAUCGUAAAACUCUGUUAUUAGGGAAGAACAUAUGUGUAAGUAACUGUGCACAUCUUGACGGUACCUAAUCAGAAAGCCACGGCUAACUACGUGCCAGCAGCCGCGGUAAUACGUAGGUGGCAAGCGUUAUCCGGAAUUAUUGGGCGUAAAGCGCGCGUAGGCGGUUUUUUAAGUCUGAUGUGAAAGCCCACGGCUCAACCGUGGAGGGUCAUUGGAAACUGGAAAACUUGAGUGCAGAAGAGGAAAGUGGAAUUCCAUGUGUAGCGGUGAAAUGCGCAGAGAUAUGGAGGAACACCAGUGGCGAAGGCGACUUUCUGGUCUGUAACUGACGCUGAUGUGCGAAAGCGUGGGGAUCAAACAGGAUUAGAUACCCUGGUAGUCCACGCCGUAAACGAUGAGUGCUAAGUGUUAGGGGGUUUCCGCCCCUUAGUGCUGCAGCUAACGCAUUAAGCACUCCGCCUGGGGAGUACGACCGCAAGGUUGAAACUCAAAGGAAUUGACGGGGACCCGCACAAGCGGUGGAGCAUGUGGUUUAAUUCGAAGCAACGCGAAGAACCUUACCAAAUCUUGACAUCCUUUGACAACUCUAGAGAUAGAGCCUUCCCCUUCGGGGGACAAAGUGACAGGUGGUGCAUGGUUGUCGUCAGCUCGUGUCGUGAGAUGUUGGGUUAAGUCCCGCAACGAGCGCAACCCUUAAGCUUAGUUGCCAUCAUUAAGUUGGGCACUCUAAGUUGACUGCCGGUGACAAACCGGAGGAAGGUGGGGAUGACGUCAAAUCAUCAUGCCCCUUAUGAUUUGGGCUACACACGUGCUACAAUGGACAAUACAAAGGGCAGCGAAACCGCGAGGUCAAGCAAAUCCCAUAAAGUUGUUCUCAGUUCGGAUUGUAGUCUGCAACUCGACUACAUGAAGCUGGAAUCGCCAGUAAUCGUAGAUCAGCAUGCUACGGUGAAUACGUUCCCGGGUC